rnacentral:rRNA from 1 species
UAGCGUAGGGGGCGUAGCGUUGUCCGGAAUCAUUGGGCGUAAAGAGCGUGUAGGCGGCCAGGUAGGUCAGCUGUGAAAACUCGAGGCUCAACCUCGAGACGCCGGUUGAAACCAUCUGGCUAGAGUCCGGAAGAGGAGAGUGGAAUUCCUGGUGUAGCGGUGAAAUGCGCAGAUAUCAGGAAGAACACCCGUGGCUAAGGCGGCUCUCUAGUACGGUACUGACGCUGAGACGCGAAAGCGUGGGGAGCGAACAGG